rnacentral:rRNA from 1 species
UACGUAGGGUCCGAGCGUUGUCCGGAUUUACUGGGUGUAAAGGGUGCGCAGGCGGUUUGGUGAGUCUGGGGUGAAAUCUCGCGGCUUAACGGCGAAACUGCCUUAGAUACUAUCAGUCUUGAAUCAGCGAGAGGUUCGUGGAAUUCCGAGUGUAGCAGUGAAAUGUGUAGAUAUUCGGAAGAACACCAGUGGCGAAGGCAGCGAACUGGCGCUCGAUUGACGCUCAGGCACGAAAGCAUGGGGAUCAAACAGG